ensembl:misc_RNA Y_RNA Y RNA
GGCUGGUCCGAUGGCAGUGGGUUAUCAGAACUUAUUAACAUUAGCGUUACUAAAGUUGUUAUACCAUCCCCCCACUGCUAAAUUUGACUGGCUUUAA